UCAACUUGAGAGUUUGAUCCUGGCUCAGAACGAACGCUGGCGGCACGCCUAACACAUGCAAGUCGAGCGCGCCCUUCGGGGUGAGCGGCGGACGGGUUAGUAACGCGUGGGAACGUACCCUUCUCUACGGAAUAGCCAUUGGAAACGAUGAGUAAUACCGUAUACGCCCUUUGGGGGAAAGAUUUAUCGGAGAAGGAUCGGCCCGCGUUAGAUUAGAUAGUUGGUGGGGUAAUGGCCUACCAAG
rnacentral:rRNA from 1 species